rnacentral:rRNA from 1 species
GACGAACGCUGGCGGCGUGCUUAACACAUGCAAGUCGAACGGAAAGGCCCUGCUUUUGUGGGGUGCUCGAGUGGCGAACGGGUGAGUAACACGUGAGUAACCUGCCCUUGUCUUUGGGAUAACUUCAGGAAACUGGGGCUAAUACCGGAUAGGAUCUCCUGCUGCAUGGUGGGGGUUGGAAAGUUUCGGCGGUUGGGGAUGGACUCGCGGCUUAUCAGCUUGUUGGUGGGGUAGUGGCUUACCAAGGCUUUGACGGGUAGCCGGCCUGAGAGGGUGACCGGCCACAUUGGGCCUGAGAUACGGCCCAGACUCCUACGGGAGGCAGCAGUGGGGAAUAUUGCACAAUGGGCGGAAGCCUGAUGCAGCAACGCCGCGUGCGGGAUGACGGCCUUCGGGUUAUAAACCGCUUUCGCAUGUGACGAAGCGUGAGUGACGGUAAUGGGUAAAGAAGCACCGGCUAACUACGUG